AUCCAGCGUUGUCACUGCAGCAGCUUGUGUUGCUGCUGUGAUGCAGGUUCAAUCCUUGGCCUGGGAACUUACACAUGCUGCAGGCACAGCCAACCAAAAAAUUUAAAACUAAAGGAAAGAGGGGGCAGAGUAGCAGGCUAGGGCCGUUGGGGCAGCUCUAACAGAGGCAUUGAGGCUGGGCAUGGGGCUUUGCAGAUUUUCUCCUAAGCUACACUCUUCAUCACAGGAGGUGUCACAGUUUCUUCCACCAAUAUUUCUCUCUCUCUCCCCUAUCUUGCCAGAUGUAUAUAGAGAUAGGAGAUAAACAGACAGGUAUUUUCACAUAUAUAUAUUUUAUAUAAUGGUACCAUUUAUGCAGACUAUCACAUAAGCGGCACAAGAAACACAAGGCUGUUCUUGGAGGAGGGAAGUCUUCUGAGGCCCAGAUAUGUGGAGGAUUGGAAGCUAACACAGUCUCCGUGUCUUACUAACUUAGCUAGUUACUAAAGUGUCCUAGAGCUCAGUUUACUCAUCUGAGAGAAAAUGGGAAUAACGACAUCUUAUCUGAAGCAUUGUUUAUAUGAAAUCUAUGUGAAGGAAAUUAAAUGGAAUCUAGAUACAGUAUAAAGGAAGAACUCCUGAGUGUCUGGGGACCUAAGAUAAGCAUGAUGGUCAUACUCAAGGAUCUGGGCUCCACCAGUAGGUAAAGACUUCAGCAUGGUCAUGAAGCAAAAGGAACUUUCGAACACCUCCAGGUUUCAAAUGCAUGGGUAUAUUCCAUAUAGUCAAGUCAGAGCUGGUUCAGGGCAGUUGACCGCUGCAUCUCUCUCUCUCUUUUUGUUAGCCACACCUCUGGCAUGUGCAAGUUCCCAGGACAGGGAUCAAACCCAUGUCAUAACAGUGACAAUGCUAGAUCCCCAACCCACUGAGCCACCAGGGAACGUCAGCACUGCAUGUCUCUCUCUCUCUCUUUUUUUUGUUGGCCACACCUCUGGCAUGUGCAAGUUCCACUGCAUAUCUCUUGAACCUCAGCUGCAAACCAUCUCUGUCGAAUACCAGGUGUUUUUGAAACAAACACAGGGAUAAAUCAAAGGAAGGGUCUUUUAGCUCUCAGGGCCAGGAAUGGGUCUAUAUGGCUUCCUGUGGCAUUUUGGACUAAGUACCUCCAGUAGCAGCCCAGUGUACUCCACUUGAGUGCUAACUUUUUGCAUUCCAUUGGGCUUUUUUUAAAACCAUAGUAUAACCACCCCACGUGGUUCUAAUUCAUACCUGAAUUCCCAUAAUGUCCUGGGUUGGAGAUGCCCCUCAGUGAAAGUCAACAUGGCUGCUGAUGCCUCCUUGGUAAAACAGAAUGGUGCCUUCAGGAGAAAGCUAGAAGUGAAAUCAAAAGCCUCUCCACAUUAUAGGAGAAAGUGGCUUCACCACUGCUCUAUCUCUUACCCCACGGCCUUGAGGAAGUGAGAGUGGUGCCCCCACUUAUUUCUCUGGCUAGUUGGGGAUCUCCUUGGGACUUCUUGUCUGAGAUGGCCAGGGGACAAGUGUGCCCCACCAAUGGCACCACCACUGCCAUUGUAGACAUGGAAGCCUACUGGAGGGCCAUGGCGAAAGGGCUUACACCACCUCCACCCUCACAUCCCCCAGCCUUACUCAGUCAAUUGAGAGAACUUGUAGCUGUCCACCCAGUCAUUUAAAGAGGGCAUGAAAGGGGGCAUUUGUGGAUCCACCUUCUCAGACUCCUGGGCUGCCGCAAUGGUUCCAUGGCUGAGUCUGGCCAAUGGACAAGGGAUAAUUCACUCAUACAUGGCGAGCCCAUCUAGGAUGCCCAAAUACGGUUGGAAUUAGCAGAGUCCCAAGUUCCUAUCAUUCACACUAACCAUUCUACAUAAGAAGCUGUUUUUUAUUAAUAUUACGGGCUCCCACCCUAAGCCCUAUCAUGUUACACCAGUAUAGACUUCUCAGGGCACCAGCCCUUCCCUCCACUUGUGAAAUGGGCUCACACAACCCAAGGGGGAUGGGUUCACCCAUGCCUUAACACUUGGGCUUAUGGGAUUUGACAGACACUUAUACUCUCCACUCUUAAACUGAAGAGUGGCCCUAUCUAGAUGGGGGCAUAGCCCCCAGGAUGACCCACUGCACUCCCACUAGAAGAAUGAUCUCGCUGACCACUGCUGUCUUUGGCUAGGGCUUCCACAUGUGCUGUCGCAACCACUGAUAUGGGCUUUCUCUUGAUCAUCCCCACCUGGAAUUCCUCCUCAAAACAAACUUAACUUAUUUGUAUUCCCUGUGGAUCACCAGACAUUGAAUCUGUUCAAGGUACCCACUUCACCUCUUGGGAGUCCUCCAACAUACUCUUUGGAACUUCAACCUAGUCUCUUCUCCCCAGCCAGCUGACCUCAUUGAGCAUCUUAAGUGCCUCCUUAUAGACACCCCAUAAAUUACUUCCAGGCAAAUGCUCCCUGAAACUUCUUUCCCCAUGCCCUCAUAUUAGUUAACUCUUCCCACCCUGCCCCUUUAUAUCCAGUGUACCAAUUAUUACAACACUGCCCCCCGCCUCAAUUCCACUUUAGGUCAUCUCUGGCAAAUCUCAAGCUUUUACUCUCCAAAGAUGGUAUCCUUUUUAUUUUUCCCUCCUGCUCCACUUCCCCCCUUCAAUGAUCCUGCAAUCAUCUCACUAUUUCUUAACUCUUGUGACCUGAUCAAGGACAGAAAGUCCAAUCUAAUCCCCUCAUCACUGAAUGCCAUCCAGUCCAAUUGCCUACCCAGUUAGAGCAAGAUCAGUUCUUUGCAAAUCCUGACAGUGGUGAGGAUUCUUCUGAAGGAGCCCCCUCCAUGCUGGCUGCUUUUCUCAAAUACAGAGGAUGCAAGAACAGGCCAAUUUAAACUGGAUUCCCUAGUAAUUAAGGGGAGUGGAAAUAAUUGCUAUAAGAACCAACCAGGGCCACAGUUUGGGUGUCUGAAAGAAGGGAAGAAACUCUCCUAUAUCUGCUUGGUAGAUAUAAGCCAUAUUCAGUGGUGAGAGUGUAAUGAGAAAGCUGCACAUCAUGGCCAUACCCCAGGCUUAAGACUCUCACAAAGAGCAGUCACA
rnacentral:lncRNA from 1 species